rnacentral:lncRNA from 1 species
GGAGGGUGGCGGAGGAAGUAGCAACAAGUCCACCAGUGGGUUUGGUUAGCUGGCUUCUUCGGAGACGGAGGAGCGGAUUACUAGAAAGCUGAUUUGGCUGGCGUCCCACUGACUGGUACGAACCUCCUGUCUCCUUAUUUAAAGGUAGAUCCAUGCUAUCUCGUUCAGGAUACUGAUGAAUUUAUUUUGCCAACUGGAGCUAAUAAAACCCGAGGCAGAUUUGAACUAGCUUUCUUUACCACUGGAGGAUGUUGCAUGACAGGGGCCACAGUCGGGGCAAUGAACGGUCUUCGUUUAGGAUUGAAGGAAACCCAGAGCAUGGCCUGGUCCAAACCAAGAAAUGUACAGAUUUUGAAUAUGGUGACUAGGCAAGGGGCACUUUGGGCUAAUACUCUAGGCUCCCUGGCUUUGCUCUAUAGUGCUUUUGGUGUUAUCAUUGAGAAAACACGGGGUGCAGAAGAUGACCUCAACACAGUAGCAGCUGGACCCAUGACAGGAAUGUUGUAUAAAUGUACAGGUGGUCUCUGAGGAAUAGCACGCGGUGGCCUGGCAGGACUGACACUCACCAGUCUCUAUGCACUAUAUAACAACUGGGAGCACAUGAAAGGUUCCCUGCUCCAACAGUC